rnacentral:rRNA from 1 species
UACAGAGGGUGCGAGCGUUACUCGGAAUUACUGGGCGUAAAGCGUGCGUAGACGGUCAUGUAAGUCGGGUGUGAAAGCCCCGGGCUCAACCUGGGAAUUGCAUUCGAGACUGCAUGGCUAGGAUGCGGAAGAGGGAAGCGGAAUUUCCGGUGUAGCGGUGAAAUGCGUAGAUAUCGGAAGGAACACCAGUGGCGAAAGCGGCUUCCUGGUCCAGCAUCGACGUUCAGGCACGAAAGCGUGGGGAGCAAACAGG